AUUGAACGCUGGCGGCAGGCCUAACACAUGCAAGUCGAACGGCAGCGGGGGUAGCUUGCUACCUCGCCGGCGAGUGGCGGACGGGUGAGUAAUGCCUGGGGAGCUGCCCAAUCGAGGGGGAUACCAGUUGGAAACGACUGCUAAUACCGCAUACGCCCUGAGGGGAAAGGUGGGAUCUUCGGACCUACCGCGAUUGGAUGCACCCAGGUGGGAUUAGCUAGUUGGUGAGGUAACGGCUCACCAAGGCGACGAUCUCUAGCUGGUCUGAGAGGAUGACCAGCCACACUGGAACUGAGACACGGUCCAGACUCCUACGGGAGGCAGCAGUGGGGAAUAUUGCACAAUGGGGGAAACCCUGAUGCAGCCAUGCCGCGUGUGUGAAGAAGGCCUC
rnacentral:rRNA from 1 species